rnacentral:rRNA from 1 species
UACGGAGGGUGCAAGCGUUAUCCGGAUUCACUGGGUUUAAAGGGUGCGUAGGUGGGUUGGUAAGUCAGUGGUGAAAUCUCCGUGCUUAACAUGGAAACUGCCAUUGAUACUACUGAUCUUGAAUUUUCAGGAGGUAAGCGGAAUAUGUCAUGUAGCGGUGAAAUGCUUAGAUAUGACAUAGAACACCAAUUGCGAAGGCAGCUCACUACACAAUCAUUGACGCUGAGGCACGAAAGCGUGGGGAUCAAACAGG